rnacentral:rRNA from 1 species
AACGAACGCUGGCGGCGCGUCUUAAACAUGCAAGUCGAACGGCAGGAAGGGGCUCGCCCCUUCUGAGAGUGGCGGACUGGUGAGUAACACGUGGGUGACAUACCUUUUAGUUGGGGAUAGCUAUUAGAAAUAGUAGGUAAUACCGAAUGUGACCGUAUUUAUUAGAAGGAUACGAGGAAAGGAGCUAAGGCUUCGCUAAAAGAAUGGCUCGCGGCCCAUUAUGCUAGUUGGUGAGGUAACGGCCCACCAAGGCGAUGAUGGGUAUCCGGCCUGAGAGGGUGAACGGACACAUUGGGACUGAGAUACGGCCCAGACUUCUACGGGAGGCAGCAGUUAAGAAUAUUCCGCAAUGGACGCAAGUCUGACGGAGCGACGCCGCGUGGAUGAAGAAUGCCGAAAGGUUGUAAAAUCCUUUUAAGCCUGAUGAAUAAGCACAAUAGGGAAUGAUUGUGCGGUGACCGUAGGGCUUGAAUAAGCACCGGCUAAUUACGUGCCAGCAGCCGCGGUAACACGUAAGGUGCGAGCGUUGUUCGGAAUUAUUGGGCGUAAAGGGCAUGUAGGCGGAUAGGCAAGCUUGGUGUGAAAUGUUACAGCUUAACUGUGAGACAGCAUUGAGAACUGCCGAUCUUGAAUUACUGAAGGGUAACCAGAAUUCCACGUGUAGGGGUGAAAUCUGUAGAUAUGUGGAAGAAUACCAAUGGCGAAGGCAGGUUACCGGCAGAUAAUUGACGCUGAGGUGCGAAAGUGCGGGGAGCGAACAGG